UCUCUCUCUUACCAUCACAUGACCGCCACCUGAGUAAUGCUGCACAGCAGCAAACGCUGAUUGGAGGAACCUGCUGGGUUAGCCACAUCAGUUCAAGACAGGCCCACUGAGUCAGUCACAUCAAUUCAGGACAGGCCCACCGGGUCAGCCACAUCGGUUAAAGAGAGGUCCACUGAGUCAGCCACGUCAAUUCAGGACAGGCCCACCGAGUCAGCCACAUCGAUUAAAGAGAGGUCCACUGAGUCAGCCACAUCGGUUAAAGAGAGGUCCACCGAGUCAGCCACAUCAAUUCAGGACAGACCCACCGAUUCAGCCACAUCGAUUAAAGAGAGGUCCACCGAGUCAGCCACAUCGGUUAAAGAGAGGUCCACCGAGUCAGCCACAUUGGUUAAAGAGAGGUCCACUGAGUCAGCCACGUCAAUUCAGGACAGGCCCACCGAGUCAGCCACAUCGAUUAAAGAGAGGUCCACCAAGUCAGCCACAUCGGUUAAAGAGAGGUCCACCGAGUCAGCCACAUCAAUUCAGGACAGACCCACCGAUUCAGCCACAUCGAUUAAAGAGAGGUCCACCGAGUCAGCCACAUCAGUUCAGGACAGGAUAGGCCCAUCAGAUCAACAAGCUGAAUAAGAAGGCAAGCUCAGUUACGGGAUGCCUAGUGGUCCUGCCUAGGUGGUAGUGGAGGAGUGCCAUUAUGAACAAUGCUGCACAUUUCUUUCUCUAACACAUGAUCACUGAGCACUUUAUUGUUGAAGACAAAUAUGUCUGGAAGUGCGAUGGGGCCUCCCGUAUAACUACGGCAAUAUACCUUUAACAUCUCGGUGUGACUGAUCUCUUUAUCUUCAGCCCAGUCACCAGAUUUUCUUCUUUUUUAUAAUUCCUGUGUGUAUUUGCUUUUGUAAAACCGCACAAUUUCCCUCUUGUGACUACUAUCUAUCUACAUAUCAGUGCAUACAUGAAAGAAACCAUAGAUUGCAAUUCUUCUGAAGAAUAUCAGGUCAUUACCGCGUGGGCUGAAAGUGGAGUGCAGCAGAAUUGUGCAAUAAAACAAUAAUCUGAAACAAUCAAGUCAAAAUCACAGUAGUGAAGAACAAGCCGUUUUAUAGGUUUAGAUUGACCGAGUCAAAGUCCACAUCUAAACUGCUGGACGUUGUUGUGGCUGGAGC